rnacentral:rRNA from 1 species
GAAAGGUAUGCUAAUACGGGAUAACAUAAGAAAUUCGCAUGCUUUUCUUAUCAAAGCUCCGGCGGUACAGGAUGGACCCGCGUCUGAUUAGCUAGUUGGUGAGGUAACGGCUCACCAAGGCGACGAUCAGUAGCCGACCUGAGAGGGUGAUCGGCCACAUUGGAACUGAGACACGGUCCAAACUCCUACGGGAGGCAGCAGUGGGGAAUAUUGCACAAUGGGCGAAAGCCUGAUGCAGCAACGCCGCGUGAGCGAUGAAGGCCUUCGGGUCGUAAAGCUCUGUCCUCAAGGAAGAUAAUGACGGUACUUGAGGAGGAAGCCCCGGCUAACUACGUGCCAGCAGCCGCGGUAAUACGUAGGGGGCUAGCGUUAUCCGGAUUUACUGGGCGUAAAGGGUGCGUAGGCGGUCUUUUAAGUCAGGAGUGAAAGGCUACGGCUCAACCGUAGUAAGCUCUUGAAACUGGAGGACUUGAGUGCAGGAGAGGAGAGUGGAAUUCCUAGUGUAGCGGUGAAAUGCGUAGAUAUUAGGAGGAACACCAGUAGCGAAGGCGGCUCUCUGGACUGUAACUGACGCUGAGGCACGAAAGCGUGGGGAGCAAACAGGAUUAGAUACCCUGGUAGUCCACGCCGUAAACGAAGAGUACUAGCUGUCGGAGGUUACCCCCUUCGGUGGC